GGGGUUGUAGCUCAAUGGUGGAGCACUUGCCUAGCAUGUGUGAGGCACUGGGUUCGAUUCUCAGCAUCACAU
rnacentral:tRNA from 1 species